AUUGAACGCUGGCGGCCGGCCUAACACAUGCAAGUCGAACGAGUGGCGGACGGGUGAGUAAUGUCUGGGAAACUGCCCGAUGGAGGGGGAUAACUACUGGAAAAGGUAGCUAAUACCGCAUACCCUCGGAUGUGCCCAGAUGUGAUUAGCUGUGAGGUGAGGUAACGGCUCACCUGGGCGACGAUCCCUAGCUGGUCUGAGAGGAUGACCAGCCACACUGGAACUGGGACACGGUCCAGAGUCCUACGGGAGGCAGCAGUGUGGAAUAUUGGGCAAUGGGGGCAAGCCUGAUGCAUCCAUGCCGCGUGUAUGAAGAAGGCCUUCGGUUUGUAAAGUACUUUCAGCGGGGAGGCGUUACCCGCAGAAGAAGCACCGGCUAACUCCGUGCCAGCAGCCGCGGUAAUAC
rnacentral:rRNA from 1 species